rnacentral:rRNA from 1 species
UACGGGGGGGGCAAGCGUUGUUCGGAAUUACUGGGCGUAAAGGGCGCGUAGGCGGCCUUCUAAGUCGGACGUGAAAUCCCUCGGCUUAACCGAGGAACUGCGUCCGAGACUGAAAGGCUUGAAUCCGGGAGAGGGAUGUGGAAUUCCAGGUGUAGCGGUGAAAUGCGUAGAUAUCGAGAGGAACACCUGCGGCGAAGGCGGGUUGCUGGGCUGACACUGACGCUGAGGCGCGAAAGCCAGGGGAGCGAACGGG